AUAACAUUGGCAUUUUUGACUAAUACAUAAACACAUCCAAGAACACCACUUAGUCAUAGCCACUACAUAAACAUAAACACAUUGCACAUUACAUUCCAGUUAGCCUAUCUAACAACACCAAAUUAGUGCCCAAUUUCCACCAUUCCACUAUUAUUAUUAUAACAAGCUAGAUGUUUCCUAUCUUGCCAAGAUCACAAUUCCAGCCAUGCAAUCUAAAUCAUACUAAAUGCAUAUUAAAUCAAUCCUUUAAACACCUUAAAGGCAAGCUCUGUUCAUAUUAAAUUUUACUCAUCCAAACAAGAAAUGGUGUAUUAUCAACAAAUACUAUCUACUUAUAAGCAUGUUAAAAUCAUUAGAAACAUGUUCAACUUAAACCAACAUAACCAAACACACUGUGUUGUAACAUUUCAACAAAUACCUUGUUUACAUAAUUCAAGUCAAACAAAACAUCAGUUCCACAGUGGAGUCAAGAAAAAAAAUCAAUCCAACAACAAUUCAAUAUGGAGAAAAAUCAAUCCAAUUGAGUCAAAUAGCUGGAAAGUAAAGACAAAUCACAGUG
rnacentral:lncRNA from 1 species